rnacentral:rRNA from 1 species
GAUGAACGCUAGCUACAGGCUUAACACAUGCAAGUCGAGGGGAAACGGCAUUGAGUGCUUGCACUCUUUGGACGUCGACCGGCGCACGGGUGAGUAACGCGUAUCCAACCUUCCCAUUACUGUGGGAUAACCUGCCGAAAGGCAGACUAAUACCGCAUAGUCUUCGAUGACGGCAUCAGAUUUGAAGUAAAGAUUUAUCGGUAAUGGAUGGGGAUGCGUCUGAUUAGCUUGUUGGCGGGGUAACGGCCCACCAAGGCGACGAUCAGUAGGGGUUCUGAGAGGAAGGUCCCCCACAUUGGAACUGAGACACGGUCCAAACUCCUACGGGAGGCAGCAGUGAGGAAUAUUGGUCAAUGGACGGAAGUCUGAACCAGCCAAGUAGCGUGCAGGAUGACGGCCCUAUGGGUUGUAAACUGCUUUUGUAUGGGGAUAAAGUUAGGGACGUGUCCCUAUUUGCAGGUACCAUACGAAUAAGGACCGGCUAAUUCCGUGCCAGCAGCCGCGGUAAUACGGAAGGUCCAGGCGUUAUCCGGAUUUAUUGGGUUUAAAGGGAGCGUAGGCUGGAGAUUAAGUGUGUUGUGAAAUGUAGACGCUCAACGUCUGAAUUGCAGCGCAUACUGGUUUCCUUGAGUACGCACAACGUUGGCGGAAUUCGUCGUGUAGCGGUGAAAUGCUUAGAUAUGACGAAGAACUCCGAUUGCGAAAGGCAGCUGANCGGGAGCGCAACUGACGCUUAAGCUCGAAGGUGNNGGUAUCAAACAGG